UUAUACUCUUAUCGUGUUUUAAUUUCACAUCUCAAUUGCGAAAGACAUCAUAUGUAGCUUGUGCAACCAUGUUUAAUCGAAAGUAUUUUAGUUCUUGUAAGCAUCAACCAUCCCAUGCCAAGAAUGAAACUUUUCUUAAUAGUAUAACAAAAAGAUCUGGUGUCACUAUAGAAGUAAAGGGAUAUGGGAAUUGAUGUCAUUCCUAAUAGGGAACAAUUGAAAUUGAU
rnacentral:lncRNA from 1 species